rnacentral:tRNA from 1 species
UGUAGCUCAGUGGUAGAGCACUUGCCUGCAUAUGCAAGGCCCUGGGUUCCAUCCCCAGCA